UACGUAGGGUGCAGGCGUUAAUCGGAAUUACUGGGCGUAAAGCGUGCGCAGGCGGUUUGCUAAGACAGGUGUGAAAUCCCCGGGCUUAACCUGGGAACUGCGCUUGUAACUGGCAAGCUUGAGUGUGGCAGAGGGGGGUGGAAUUCCACGUGUAGCAGUGAAAUGCGUAGAGAUGUGGAGGAACACCGAUGGCGAAGGCAGCCCCCUGGGUUAACACUGACGUUCAGGCACGAAAGCGUGGGGAGCAAACAGG
rnacentral:rRNA from 1 species